UCCUCCAGCGAACAUUUAGUUGCGUGUCUACCACGGCCUGCGUUAUUGCUGUCCUGCCGCUGAAGUGAAGCCAAAAAAAAGUUUUACACGGGUCCUCAUCCAACUAUCUCUUUUUUAUAAAGACAUUCUCCUCUCGCUUUACUUAGAGCGUCUUUUGCCAGCGCGACCAGUGCAGGUUCCCAUGUUUUAAAAUGAAGCGCGGGGGGCUUAUUAACAUAUACCGCCGAGUGGCUGUGUAAGAUCAUAUUUACAAAGAGAUAUGCUUCCACUCGUCUUCCUUCAAAGAAACGCGCAAUAGCCAUGUGUUAGAAUAAAGCUCGUUCGUCAGGGAAUGUGAAAAAAAACGGCUACCCUGAGGACCCGUGUGCGUUUGUGUGCACGCGAUUGGCAACAUAACUGGCUUAUUUACAUUAAAUACGCCACAAGGUUACAGUGCCGAUGAACGUCAUUUUAUCACUGAUUACUUCUCUUAAGCACUAGAGCGGUGACUGAUGCUUCGGGACGCGCUGUCUGCACAGAUUUACGCUGGAGUUUUUUGGAAGAAAGAACACUUGAAAUAGUUCCUCGAAAAGGUUUCCCCUGGCUUCAUGUUACAGCCCCCUUUCUCUACAAAACAGGGUAAAGACUCAUCCUCCUUGGCCAGUGUCGUCGUGUGCAGCUGUACUGACUGAGUGCAGGAAGGUGCCUGGGUCCACCUAACCCGCCCGAUUCCCCCCCGGACCAGUAUGCAGGUAGUGUGUUAAGGGAAAACUGGCCCCACCAUUUCCGAUAAAGGCUGAUAAAUAAACAAGUGCCCCUGAUGUCCCCGUGGCCCUCCACCCUCUCUCCAGAGAGCCUCCUUUCCCAGCACACUUCCUUUGCUUACAAUUAGGCCCAUAAUAAAACACCCAGAACUCUUAAUAAAAAGAGAAAGGCCUACGCCUAC